UUUCGGGGCAAAAGUGUCUUUAGAGCUGACCCGGAGUAGGAGACAGAUCUCGGCGGAAAGAAAGCUUUUUCCCCCACCUUCUCCUUCGGCCGUGGACCGUCUUCAUUUUCUCGCCUGCAACCAAUCCCCCUCCUCUUCAUCUUCCUCUUCCCCCCACCCCGGUCCUCCCCAUCCAACCAUGAAAGCGAUCAGCCCGGUGCGGUCCGUCAGGAGCUGCUACGAAGCCGCGUGUUGCGUGUCGGAUCAGAGUCUCGCCAUCGCCCGGGGCAGCAGCAACAAGAGCCCCGCUCUGGAGGAACCCAUGAGUAUCCUCUACGACAUGAACGAUUGUUACUCCAAGCUGCGGGAGUUGGUGCCGGGCAUUCCGCAAGGCAGUAAAGUCAGCCAGGUGGAAAUCUUGCAACACGUCAUCGAUUACAUCUUCGAUCUCCAGAUCGUGCUGGAGGAGCAGGCGAAGAAGGGGCAGGAUCCCUCGACCGAGGCUUCUCUCCUCUCCUUAAAAGCAGCUGAACUUGCAUCGGAACUCUGCUCAAAGGAGGAACGGACCCUUUGCCACCACUAAAGGCUUUCACAGGCUGCAGGUGUGGGAUCCUGAAACUGGGUUCUCUCCAGCGAAAGAAAAAGGGGGAGGAGAAAGAAAAAAGAAGGAAGGAAAAAUAAAAUAAAAGACCUUGACUGGAGAAAGAAUCAGCUGCUCCGAAACUGGGCAUCCCCCUAAAAUGGACGGACUUUUAUCUUCCAGAUAAACUGUGGAAGGAGAUCACCCAAGGCAGAUUUCUGGACUGGGUCUUCCAAAAACAACUUAAAAAAAAAAUACUUCUGUGUUACUUUUAUCUUCCAUCAGCCUGAAAACAAGAAGAAAAACUGCAAGCCAGGAGUUGGGGGGUAGUGGGGGAAAGUAACUUGCCUUUUAUUGUCAAAUUACUCAUUGGAUUGCUGCAUUGCACAAGAAGGAACUUGGUAUCCCUUAAAGCAGUUUUUUUGACAAAAGGUGUAGAAGAAGAAAGGGGGGGAAACCCCUCUUCGAGCCAUCAGAUUUGUACUGCACAUUGGGCUGAAGAGAGCUUAAAAGAAUGUGGACUUUGCGUUCUUCCACAGUUUUGCAAUGCUUUGGUGUGUAGAGAUCUAUGAAGAGAGCUGUUUUUUGCUCUUUUUAAAAAAAAUGAAGCAAAAAAAAUGCAGAUAACGCAGCUUGUUUGUAUAUUUUGGAUUAUAGUUUUUUAACUUCAGUUUGGGGCUGGGGGGAAGCGGGAAGGGGAUAUUAAGACUAUGAAAACUGAACUCACUUGAGGUUGGUUGAGCCUCAUGAGUUAAAUUGUUGAACUCUAUAAUAGAGAUGACAUAUGUACCUUUUUUUGGCAGGAAGGUGAAUUUAUGUUUCCGAGAAUUGUACUUGCUUUGUAAAAAAAAAAAUCCAAAAAAACUUUUUAUAAAAGUUUCUUAAUAAAUUUUAAACUUUUU